rnacentral:ncRNA from 1 species
AUAAACCUAUUAACUUACCAUAAGUAGGCUAUCUAAGAAAGUUGUUGGAUAAUGCGAAACAACGAGCUGAAAUUCCAGUAAGUCACGAUAGUGGGUAAUGCCACUCGGUUAUUCACCGUUAUCAGAUAAUGAGUGUUAUGCAUUAAUUUGCAUAGAAUCUGGGUGGUACCACGGAAGCGCGUUUUUCGUCCCUUGU